rnacentral:rRNA from 1 species
CCCUUAGAUGUUCUGGGCCGCACGCGUGCUACACUGAGUGGAUCAGCGGGUCAGGUUGCGCGAAAGCGUUUCCUAAUCUUUAAAUCCGCUCGUGAUGGGGAUUGACGGUUGCAAUUUUCUGUCAUGAACGAGGAAUACCUUGUAAGCGCGGGUCAUCAUCCCGCGCUGAAUCCGUCCCUGCCCUUUGUACACACCGCCCGUCGCUCCUACCGAUUGAGUGGUCCGGUGAGGCUUUGGGAUCUGAGCGGAAAGAGCGUUUCGCUGUUUCUGCUCGGAAAACUCAGUCGAACCUUAUCAUUUAGAGGAAGGAGAAGUCGUAACA